UGGGGAAUAUUGCGCAAUGGGCGAAAGCCUGACGCAGCAACGCCGCGUGAGUGAUGAAGGCCUUCGGGUCGUAAAGCUCUGUCGGAGGGAACGAAUGCUCUUGAGGUUAACAGCCUCGGGAGGUGACGGUACCCUCAAAGGAAGCACCGGCUAACUCUGUGCCAGCAGCCGCGGUAAUACAGAGGGUGCAAGCGUUGUUCGGAAUCAUUGGGCGUAAAGGGCGUGUAGGCGGUAUGUUAAGUCAUGUGUGAAAUCCCUCGGCUUAACCGGGGAACUGCAUCGGAAACUACUCUGCUGGAGUGCGAGAGAGGAAGGCGGAAUUCCCAGUGUAGAGGUGAAAUUCGUAGAUACUGGGAGGAACACCGGAGGCGAAGGCGGCCUUCUGGAUCGCAACUGACGCUGAGACGCGAAAGCGUGGGUAGCAAACAGGAUUAGAUACCCACGUAGUCCCUGAGCGGGCUGGCAAGGCGCAU
rnacentral:rRNA from 1 species